CUGCACCUGGGAGCAGGUUUUUGACCAAGUGUCAUCAGCUUCGGUUGUAGGAUAUAAAAUGAAGAAAGGGAAACGUUCGCUAACAAGCUUUUGCUCUGGAACACAAUCAAUCGAUGGCGUUUAAAAUCACUUCUCCUAAAUAAUGCUGUGUUAAAGAAAGGGGAGGAUCAAAAGUUGCUUUCUUUGAAUCCACACAAUCAUUGCAAACAAAGGAAAGAUAAAGGUUUUCGUUGACAGAUCAUGAGCAAACAAGAAAGUAUCGAAUCAUCUCUCUCUCUCUCUCUCUCUCUCUCUGUGGGUUUUGAAUUGAAUAAACAAGCUGUACAGGGUGGGAAUCUGAUGUCUGAUGUAUGGGUUGGAUCUGAGAGGCUUUGAGCAAUAAAAAAAGGAGAGAGAAAGAGACCCGCAAGAAGUGCUUCAAAAGGAGUUUGCAGAGUGGCUGAAGCACAAUUUAUGAAUCUAUCCUGGGGUUCUCACUCCUCACGGAAGCCAAAGACUGGUCAGAACAGUACUCACAGAAAAUGGCAUUGGAGACAGCAAACACCAUGACAUAGAGCCAUGUCUCUUUGUGCAUUCAAACUACACAUCU